rnacentral:rRNA from 1 species
UACGUGGGGGGCAAGCGUUGUUCGGAAUUACUGGGCGUAAAGGGCUCGUAGGCGGCCAACUAAGUCAGACGUGAAAUCCCCAGGCUUAACCUGGGAACUGCGUCUGAUACUGGAUGGCUUGAAUUCGGGAGAGGGAUGCAGAAUUCCAGGUGUAGCGGUGAAAUGCGUAGAUAUCUGGAGGAAUACCGGUGGCGAAGGCGGCAUCCUGGACCGGCAUUGACGCUGAGGCGCGAAAGCCAGGGGAGCAAACGGG